UACGGGGGGAGCAAGCGUUGUUCGGAUUUACUGGGCGUAAAGGGCGCGUAGGCGGCCACCGCAAGUCACUUGUGAAAUCUCCGGGCUUAACCCGGAAAGGUCAACUGAUACUGCGGGGCUAGAGUGCAGAAGGGGCAACUGGAAUUCUCGGUGUAGCGGUGAAAUGCGUAGAUAUCGAGAGGAACACCUGCGGCGAAGGCGGGUUGCUGGGCUGACACUGACGCUGAAGUGCGAAAGCUAGGGGAGCGAACGGG
rnacentral:rRNA from 1 species